AAUAAAAUAUAUUGAUGUCCCCCCUCCCUUCUUACCUUUAUUGAGGAGGAGGGGGGACAUUUCUCCAUCCCUGGUGGUCCCAGUGGGAAUCCCUGGUGGUUCCAGUGUGGAGUGAAGUCUAGCUCGCGCUCCAGGGCUAGACUUCACUCUCGCGAGAUUUGGAGCGUUGCCAUGGUAAUGCUCCAAAUCUCGCGAGAGGAGGACCCGGAGGAGCUGCAGACUGAGCUCCCAGGUCCUCUCUCCCUCCCCUGCCGGCUGUCAGCAAUGUGCCUGCGGACC